AAAGUCGUAACAAGGUUUCCGUAGGUGAACCUGCGGAAGGAUCAUUAAAGAGAUAGGGUCUUCUAGGCCCGACCUCCCAACCCUUUGUUUACUUAACCAUCGUUGCUUCGGCGAGCCCGUCUUUACUGACCGCCGGGAGACUCUAAACCGUCUUCUGGUCCGCGCUCGUCGGUGGCCAACACUUUAAAUUCUUUAACUAAACGUGUCUAUAUCUGAGUACUAUAUUUUAAUAAAAACAAAACUUUCAACAACGGAUCUCUUGGUUCUG
rnacentral:misc_RNA from 1 species